rnacentral:rRNA from 1 species
UCGUCACACUAUCAUUAACUGAAUCCAUAGGUUAAUGAGGCGAACCGGGGGAACUGAAACAUCUAAGUACCCCGAGGAAAAGAAAUCAACCGAGAUUCCCCCAGUAGCGGCGAGCGAACGGGGAGGAGCCCAGAGCCUGAAUCAGCAUGUGUGUUAGUGGAAGCGUCUGGAAAGGCGCGCGAUACAGGGUGACAGCCCCGUACACAAAAGCGCAUGUGCUGUGAGCUCGAUGAGUAGGGCGGGACACGUGGUAUCCUGUCUGAAUAUGGGGGGACCAUCCUCCAAGGCUAAAUACUCCUGACUGACCGAUAGUGAACCAGUACCGUGAGGGAAAGGCGAAAAGAACCCCGGCGAGGGGAGUGAAAAAGAACCUGAAACCGUGUACGUACAAGCAGUGGGAGCCCCACCACCAAAGCAUUUGCUGUACCGCGUUGACGGAGCGAAGCGACGUCAAACCGAUAA